CAGGGGUGUGACUGCUUUCCAGAGCUGUUACUCCCCAAACACCAGGGCGCAGUGGGCCAGGUAGUCUCACUCAGGAAAGCCAUGGUGAGUCUGAGUUUGGCCAACCUUUUGCUUCAUUUUUUCUUCCUUCCAAGGAGCUGCUGAGAAACGUGUCCCUUGAUCUCACUACACUUGUCCUCUGUCAUCAAUCUCCGUGGCUGGGUAGCUCAUUACUACUCACUCACGGCUUUCAACGCACCCACUUAUGACCUCAGUUCUCUGGUGGGGAGUGCAGCGCUGACUUAGCCGACUCUCUACUUUGGGGUCUUACCAGGGUGCACCACGGGGGCUUCGUGCUCAUCAGAGACUGGAAGGGGAAAGGUUGAUUCAUUUUCAUUUUGCUCUGGGACUGAGUGUCUCUUUUUCUGGCUGGCUGCCAGCAGGAACCAUGCUCACCUCCCUGAGUUUGCUUCUAGUUCCUGGCCACGGGAUCCUCUCACAGGUGGUCUUAAAGACCUUCCCCAGUGUGGCCGCUCGCUUCUUCAGGGCAGGCUCAAGUUCUCUCUCGCUUCUUACGAGGGGCCCUCCUGCUUCAGUCAGGACAGUCUCCUUCGGUUAACUCCAAGUCAGCCGACUAGGAAGAGGAAUCACUUCUGCAAAUGCCCACCUACCUCCCAGGAUGGUGCUUCACGGGGCAGAUUCCAGAAGGAGACAAAAGCUGAAAAGAGCAAGUUGACACAGAAACUGUGAACAUAGCAGGCCUGGAGCAGCGCUGUGUGACGAGGGAAGAGAACUCCAAGGGGCACAGGAUCCGCAAGAGAACGUGGAGCUGCAGAAGCGCACCCCUCCAGAUGCUGAAAGCAGCACAUGGUUUCACUGGAGAGUGGAGGACUUGGGUCAGGCUCUGGCAGAACGUGCUGGGACAUGCCCUCAGGAGCCUGCAGUGAGUGCGCCCCAGCCGCAGAGCCAGGCACCAAGGAGAGCUGUUCACUGGAGGCCCCAGGACACACUUGCCCUGGGGACCAGGAUAAGCUGCUUCCCCCUGGGCACUGCCAGCCCAGCUCCUGGGAGCCCCGCUGAGUCUGCCAAGCAAGCCCCAGAAGGGGAACACAAAAUCCACUCCUCCUAAAGCGUCUCUUCAGCACCCCCUACAGACCUGGUGUCAUGCCAGACAGCACAGGGGAAAAACUGAAGGGCUCAGAUUCAUUUUCACAAAGCAGACGAGAAAGAUGAACCUGGCGCUGAGCAGCCCCGAGCCAACAACCUGCACUCUCACUUUCUGUUUUGCCUUUUGUCUUUAAUAUGGUCUUUUCUCCACCCUGUUUUCUCUCUAGACUUUGUCAACUUACAGUACAUAAACUCCCAGGUUUCUUGGUGUUUCCACACUGUGCUGUUUUCUUCAUCCCCUGGGCCAGCCUGCCCAGUCCCCUACUGCACAUGAUAAGCAGUUUCUCCAACGAACUUAGGCAGCUCACCCUGCACCUGUCAAACGUACAGUUUUCUACCAAGAGCUGCCACAGACCCACCAGGCCGCCAGUGUCCCCAGGCACAUUUAAAGGCUUAAAUCCUAUGCCAGGCCCCAGUUUCCCUAUAAAAACUAGGAAGCAUAUGCCACAGCAUGCCAAGAAGGAAGGGAUACCUCUACCAAAACUGUGAACUGAUUCAUGCUACCAAGUGCUUCUGGUGUCUCAGCCCGGAGUGUGUGACACUGAAAACACAUCUGCAUUCUAACCUAGGUUCAAACUCAAAACCCAGCUGUGGUUAAGUAAACUAUGGCACAUGUGUACAAUGGAUUAUUAAGCAAUCAUAAACCAACAUCUAGGGUUACCUAAGAACAAGGAAAGUGCCAUACGUUUAAGUAAAAGAUCAGAAUAUAUCUUAUAUGCAGUACAUGUAUAACCAAGAAUUAUCACAUCAGUCACAACUAAUUAUAAUAGUAAGAAUGCUGAAUUUUCUCCUUUAUGUGUAUUUUGAUAAAUUUUAUUUACUGAGCAUUGUGUCUUUUAAAAAAAAUUAAAAUGAAUUUUCAGAACUUGACCCUCCCUCCCUCUGUCCUUCCCUUGUUCCCUGAAAGGUAGCAGCACUGUGAAGGAACCACGUCCAGGACGGUUGAACAGGGGGGUCACCUCUUAAAUUCCUACUGCAUUUAAGUCACUUUGCCAUCUAAAAGUAAAUAGAAUCACACAUUAUUGUGAUCUUUGUCAAUUAUGAAAACAAAAGCCAUUCAACACCCAGGACUUCUACUUAGCUCAUGGACACUUCAGGAGUUCUAUUUCAAAGAUUUAGAAUGUCUUUCUGACGUUUUUAUUUUUUCAGAUCUAAAGAGACAAUAUAUUGUUUUGUUUGGUGUUUAGGGGUUUUGCAAAUUUAUCGUGGCUCUAAGUUUCAGAAAUGUGAUUACCGGUUUAGUGAAUGUGAAAGUUGGGUUACCACACACUGACGUGGAAGAUCAUUAAUGCCACUGUUGGCCCCUGGGGAGGAGAGUUCAAAGCUCAUCUCAAAACCCCCUCUCAGUGGGAGGUCUAUCUGCAAGGUCAUCUUCACUGGACAACCCUAACUGGACAUCCCAGGGGAGGCUGCAGGCUUUCAGGGUUUGCUCUCCUACCCUAAAAGCCUUUGUCACUAUGAACAAUGAAAGAGAAACCUUAAGUUUGUUUUUGUUUUUAAAUGAAGGGAGGCACUUAAAGGCUGUAAGUUUUCCUUUGUAUUCUUCAGUCACCUAUGGCACAUUUAACCAAUUAAACAUUUCUGAAAUAAGCUUCUUUUGCAUGCA